GCGACUAAGAACAAACAGGAGCUCUCCUUCUACAGUCUUCCUGAGUUUGAGGAGUGGAAGAAGCAGACGGAAAGCUAUAAAACCUGGCACAUCAAGUACUACAAAGGUUUGGGUACAAGCACUAGCAAAGAGGCCAAGGAGUACUUUGCUGACAUGGAGAGGCACCGGAUCACAUUCAGAUACCAGGGGGCCGAGGACGACGCCGCCAUCACGCUGGCCUUUAGCAAAAAGAAGACUGACGACAGGAAGGAGUGGCUGACAAACUUCAUGGAGGACCGACGGCAGAGGAGGAUGCACGGCCUGCCGGAGAAAUACCUGUAUGGAA